AACGAACGCUGGCGGCAUGCCUAACACAUGCAAGUCGAACGAGACCUUCGGGUCUAUUGGCGCACGGGUGCGUAACGCGUGGGAACCUGCCCUUAGGUUCGGAAUAACUCCCCGAAAGGGGUGCUAAUACCGGAUAAUGUCUUCGGACCAAAGAUUUAUCGCCUUUGGAGGGGCCCGCGUUGGAUUAGCUAGUUGGUAGGGUAAAAGCCUACCAAGGCGACGAUCCAUAGCUGGUCUGAGAGGAUGAUCAGCCACACUGAGACUGAGACACGGCCCAGACUCCUACGGGAGGCAGCAGUGGGGAAUAUUGGAACAUGGGCGAAAGCCUGAUCCAGCAAUGCCGCGUGAGUGAUGAAGGCCUUAGGGUUGUAAAGCUCUUUUAACCGGGAUGAUAAUGACAGUACCGGGAGAAUAAGCUCCGGCUAACUACGUG
rnacentral:rRNA from 1 species